rnacentral:rRNA from 1 species
UAGGGAAUCUUCGGCAAUGGACGAAAGUCUGACCGAGCAACGCCGCGUGAGUGAAGAAGGUUUUCGGAUCGUAAAACUCUGUUGUUAGAGAAGAACAAGGACGUUAGUAACUGAACGUCCCCUGACGGUAUCUAACCAGAAAGCCACGGCUAACUACGUGCCAGCAGCCGCGGUAAUACGUAGGUGGCAAGCGUUGUCCGGAGUUAUUGGGCGUAAAGCGAGCGCAGGCGGUUUCUUAAGUCUGAUGUGAAAGCCCCCGGCUCAACCGGGGAGGGUCAUUGGAAACUGGGAGACUUGAGUGCAGAAGAGGAGAGUGGAAUUCCAUGUGUAGCGGUGAAAUGCGUAGAUAUAUGGAGGAAAACCAGUGGCGAAGGCGGCUCUCUGGUCUGUAACUGACGCUGAGGCUCGAAAGCGUGGGGAGCAAACAGG